rnacentral:rRNA from 1 species
CCUGAUGCAGCGACGCCGCGUGAGGGAUGACGGCCUUCGGGUUGUAAACCUCUUUCAGUAGGGACGAAGCGCAAAUGACGGUACCUACAGAAGAAGCACCGGCCAACUACGUGCCAGCAGCCGCGGUAAUACGUAGGGUGCGAGCGUUGUCCGGAUUUACUGGGCGUAAAGAGCUCGUAGGCGGUUUGUCGCGUCGUCUGUGAAAACCCGAGGCUUAACCUCGGGCCUACAGGUGAUACGGGCAGACUUGAGUACUGUAGGGGAGACUGGAAUUCCUGGUGUAGCGGUGGAAUGCGCAGAUAUCAGGAGGAACACCGGUGGCGAGGGCGGGUCUCUGGGCAGUAACUGACGCUGAGGAGCGAAAGCGUGGGUAGCGAACAGGAUUAGAUACCCUGGUAGUCCACGCCGUAAACGGUGGGUACUAGGUGUGGGUUUCCUUCCACGGGAUCCGUGCCGUAGCUAACGCAUUAAGUACCCCGAC